GAGGCCUGACAUCUCCCGGCAGUCACAGUGAUGUCUUCCUUAGAUGGAUUCAAUAAUGGGGAAGAACAGAUGAAAAGUGGUGAAAGUUGCUAACUGCUGUGUUCCUCUGCUUGCUUUUCAUGCUGUGUGCCAGGAAUCAAAGCUGGAGGAGCGGAAGUCAAAUACUUCAUGUUGAUCUGUCUUUGGGAUCACUGAGCCAAUCUUCAGCUAUACUGUUCAGCUCAUCUGUGCUUCUGCAUGAACCAGAUCUGAUCUGUGUUUCAAAUCAGCAAACAUCCCAAGAAAGAAAAUAGCCUGUGAAAGUCCCCUUAGGGUCAACUUUUAAGAAGCCUUGGGCAGCUAUGUUCUUCCAACCUAACAGUCCAUAAGAUCUUCCCCUAUUUUUCCAGAAGCUUCAGAUGAGACUAUCACAAAGAAAAAUAUACAGGGAGUCCACGGAGCCUCCCCUGCAAGCAUCAGUACAGAAGUCGAUGAUAAUCUGGAUGCAAGCCCAGGAGUGUGGAGUCCACUGACUCAGAAGACCUGCAUCUAAGGAAUUGGCUGUUCUUAUCCUUAAGAAUGAUGACUGUGUUUCCAAUUCCAGUAGACCCUUUGAUGCGUUCUGAAUAAAUAUUCCUUUUGGAAUUGAA
rnacentral:lncRNA from 1 species